CUAGAUAAGCAUUAUCGGUGUCAAUGGCAGUGACAUGGACACAAGCCUAGGAAUCCAGGCAGCCAUCAGAACCUGGAAGAGCUACAGAAUGAUGUCUCCUUCAGGACAACUACAUUCUCAAGGCCUGUUUCAGGAAUGGGUAACAGAAGACCACAAAGCCACCACUUCAUAGCAUCGAGUACAAUGUUGAAUAAAAUGG